rnacentral:rRNA from 1 species
GAUGAACGCUGGCGGCGUGCUUAACACAUGCAAGUCGAACGGAAAGGCCCAAGCUUGCUUGGGUACUCGAGUGGCGAACGGGUGAGUAACACGUGGGUGAUCUGCCCUGCACUUCGGGAUAAGCCUGGGAAACUGGGUCUAAUACCGGAUAGGACGAUGGUUUGGAUGCCAUUGUGGAAAGUUUUUUCGGUGUGGGAUGAGCUCGCGGCCUAUCAGCUUGUUGGUGGGGUAAUGGCCUACCAAGGCGUCGACGGGUAGCCGGCCUGAGAGGGUGUACGGCCACAUUGGGACUGAGAUACAGCCCAGACUCCUACGGGAGGCAGCAGUGGGGAAUAUUGCACAAUGGGCGCGAGCCUGAUGCAGCGAAGCCGCGUGGAGGGUGACGGCCUUCGGGUUGUAAACUCCUUUCGCUAGGGACGAAGCGUUUUUGUGACGGUACCUGGAGAAGAAGCACCGGCUAACUACGUG